ensembl:lncRNA
CGAUGCCUGUCAAUUCCAUGCGCAUUCUAAGCCCCGCCCUCUAUGCGGUUUAAUGGGCAAAAUACCUGACCAGGUGGAGGCGCUGCUGCAGGGGGAAAAGUUAAAAUCGGGAGAAACAACGUGGUCACAGGAAUUCAUCGGCGUCUCCAGUGAUGGAAACGGGACGCCCGGGUGGACGCACUACUUCUCUGCGAGCGUCAAUAUUCCGUCUGUCAAGCAUUGAUUCCAAAUCAAUCAGCGCCCACUUUGAAGAGCGACUGGAUACGCGGGAUGUGAAAGAAUAAUUCACUGGUUUUGGGCACGUCCCCCCACUCCCCCCGUUCCCCCCGGAGCCGUGGAGGUGAGGAGCCUGGGUGGCAGCGCAGCACGCCGGGGCCUCCCUGGCUGGCGCCUGUAAUUUUACCUUCACAUUCAUCAGCCGGAGAUAUUAAUAAUAACUGCACAUCUGGAUUCACUUUACCGUCUCGCGUUCAGCCCCCCCCUUCUGCGUCUCCUCCACUGCUGCAGUUCCCCUGUUUGAGUCUCCGCUCACCUGAGCAGCUUCACGUCGACGUGUUGCUUCUGUCUCAAAUGAUGGAUAUGGAGCGUCCUUUUAUUAACGGCCAUGAAGAGACAGGAAUGUGUCCACUAUGCUGUGGAGGAAGUGCUGCACACUUUUUGGCAAACGAUUCUCACCGUUCUUUUUAUGCUUUUAGGGACCUAACAUCUGAAUUGUUAAUGCUUCCACCUCCACAUUGUGCCGCCACCUCCCGUUACGUUGCGGCCCCCCCAAGUGGAGCCAAAACAUCCGGAUCGCCCCCUGGUGGGCGAUGUUAUGAUUUAGAAAGCGAUUGAUUGGAUACGCAGCAGAUUGUGUACGAUAAGAGAACAUUUUAAACCUAAAAAGGCUUUUGAAGGAACGAAAAGCUUCAGUGUGUGUGUGUGUGUGUGUG